rnacentral:lncRNA from 1 species
UUUGAUGAGAAGAAUUGGCUUCAUUUUGAUUUAACAGCAGAGAUAAAAGAAAAGACUUUGGUGUUUUUGCCACUGUUAUGUUAUCCAUAUUUAAAGAAUCAAAAAGCACACAUCCAAGGAGCAUUACCUUGGAAAGAGAGC